AUCCUUUCUGGUUCAUAAAGCAUGAUGACUGGGUGUUCACACCAUUGCGCCAUAUGUGCUGUGCAUAAACCUUGUUAUGAUAUGGUCACAUUACCUGUCUGACA